GAAGUAAAAGUCGUAACAAGGUCUCCGUAGGUGAACCUGCGGAAGGAUCAUUAUCGAGUUUUGAAUGGGUUGUCUGCUGGCUCGCAAGGGCAUGUGCACGCCUGUCUCAUCCACUCUCAACUUCUGUGCACUUUUCAUAGGCCGGCUUGUGGGUGCGUUCGCGCACUUGUAGGUGUCGGGCUUAUGCUUUACUACAAACGAUUCAGUUUUAGAAUGUCAUACUUUGCUAUAACGCAAUUAUAUACAACUUUCAGCAACGGAUCUCUUGGCUCUCGCAUCGAUGAAGAACGCAGCGAAAUGCGAUAAGUAAUGUGAAUUGCAGAAUUCAGUGAAUCAUCGAAUCUUUGAACGCACCUUGCGCUCCUUGGUAUUCCGAGGAGCAUGCCUGUUUGAGUCUCAUGGAAUUCUCAACCUUCAGCUUUAUUGAUGAAGGCUUGGACUUGGAGGUCGUGCCGGCUCUCGUAGUCGGCUCCUCUGAAAUGCAUUAGUGCGAACGUUACCAGCCGCUUCAGCGUGAUAAUUAUCUGCGUUGCUGUGGAGGGUAUUCUAGUGUUCACGCUUCUAACCGUCUUCGGACAAAUUUCUGAACUCUGAGCUCAAAUCAGGUAGGACUACCCGCUGAACUUAAGCAUAUCAAUAAGCGGAGGAAAAGAAACUAACAAGGAUUCCCCUAGUAACUGCGAGUGAAGCG
rnacentral:rRNA from 1 species